rnacentral:rRNA from 1 species
AGACCCGAAACCCGGUGAUCUAGCCAUGGGCAGGUUGAAGGUUGGGUAACACUAACUGGAGGACCGAACCGACUAAUGUUGAAAAAUUAGCGGAUGACUUGUGGCUGGGGGUGAAAGGCCAAUCAAACCGGGAGAUAGCUGGUUCUCCCCGAAAGCUAUUUAGGUAGCGCCUCGUGAAUUCAUCUCCGGGGGUAGAGCACUGUUUCGGCAAGGGGGUCAUCCCGACUUACCAACCCGAUGCAAACUGCGAAUACCGGAGAAUGUUAUCACGGGAGACACACGGCGGGUGCUAACGUCCGUCGUGAAGAGGGAAACAACCCAGACCGCCAGCUAAGGUCCCAAAGUCAUGGUUAAGUGGGAAACGAUGUGGGAAGGCCCAGACAGCCAGGAUGUUGGCUUAGAAGCAGCCAUCAUUUAAAGAAAGCGUAAUAGCUCACUGGUCGAGUCGGCCUGCGCGGAAGAUGUAACGGGGCUAAACCAUGCACCGAAGCUGCGGCAGCGACACUGUGUGUUGUUGGGUAGGGGAGCGUUCUGUAAGCCUGUGAAGGUGUGCUGUGAGGCAUGCUGGAGGUAUCAGAAGUGCGAAUGCUGACAUAAGUAACGAUAAAGCGGGUGAAAAGCCCGCUCGCCGGAAGACCAAGGGUUCCUGUCCAACGUUAAUCGGGGCAGGGUGAGUCGACCCCUAAGGCGAGGCCGAAAGGCGUAGUCGAUGGGAAACAGGUUAAUAUUCCUGUACUUGGUGUUACUGCGAAGGGGGGACGGAGAAGGCUAUGUUGGCCGGGCGACGGUUGUCCCGGUUUAAGCGUGUAGGCUGGUUUUCCAGGCAAAUCCGGAAAAUCAAGGCUGAGGCGUGAUGACGAGGCACUACGGUGCUGAAGCAACAAAUGCCCUGCUUCCAGGAAAAGCCUCUAAGCAUCAGGUAACAUCAAAUCGUACCCCAAACCGACACAGGUGGUCAGGUAGAGAAUACCAAGGCGCUUGAGAGAACUCGGGUGAAGGAACUAGGCAAAAUGGUGCCGUAACUUCGGGAGAAGGCACGCUGAUAUGUAGGUGAAGUCCCUCGCGGAUGGAGCUGAAAUCAGUCGAAGAUACCAGCUGGCUGCAACUGUUUAUUAAAAACACAGCACUGUGCAAACACGAAAGUGGACGUAUACGGUGUGACGCCUGCCCGGUGCCGGAAGGUUAAUUGAUGGGGUCAGCGCAAGCGAAGCUCUUGAUCGAAGCCCCGGUAAACGGCGGCCGUAACUAUAACGGUCCUAAGGUAGCGAAAUUCCUUGUCGGGUAAGUUCCGACCUGCACGAAUGGCGUAAUGAUGGCCAGGCUGUCUCCACCCGAGACUCAGUGAAAUUGAACUCGCUGUGAAGAUGCAGUGUACCCGCGGCAAGACGGAAAGACCCCGUGAACCUUUACUAUAGCUUGACACUGAACAUUGAGCCUUGAUGUGUAGGAUAGGUGGGAGGCUUUGAAGUGUGGACGCCAGUCUGCAUGGAGCCGACCUUGAAAUACCACCCUUUAAUGUUUGAUGUUCUAACGUGGACCCGUGAUCCGGGUUGCGGACAGUGUCUGGUGGGUAGUUUGACUGGGGCGGUCUCCUCCUAAAGAGUAACGGAGGAGCACGAAGGUUGGCUAAUCCUGGUCGGACAUCAGGAGGUUAGUGCAAUGGCAUAAGCCAGCUUGACUGCGAGCGUGACGGCGCGAGCAGGUGCGAAAGCAGGUCAUAGUGAUCCGGUGGUUCUGAAUGGAAGGGCCAUCGCUCAACGGAUAAAAGGUACUCCGGGGAUAACAGGCUGAUACCGCCCAAGAGUUCAUAUCGACGGCGGUGUUUGGCACCUCGAUGUCGGCUCAUCACAUCCUGGGGCUGAAGUAGGUCCCAAGGGUAUGGCUGUUCGCCAUUUAAAGUGGUACGCGAGCUGGGUUUAGAACGUCGUGAGACAGUUCGGUCCCUAUCUGCCGUGGGCGCUGGAGAACUGAGGGGGGCUGCUCCUAGUACGAGAGGACCGGAGUGGACGCAUCACUGGUGUUCGGGUUGUCAUGCCAAUGGCACUGCCCGGUAGCUAAAUGCGGAAGAGAUAAGUGCUGAAAGCAUCUAAGCACGAAACUUGCCCCGAGAUGAGUUCUCCCUGACCCUUUAAGGGUCCUGAAGGAACGUUGAAGACGACGACGUUGAUA